CUGCUAAAUAGUUAUGCCAACUCUCGUUGGUAGUCAACUUCUUAGAGGGACUGUCGGCGAUUAGCCGACGGAAGUUUUAGGCAAUAACAGGUCUGUUAUGCCCUUAGAUGUCCUGGGCCGCACGCGCGCUACACUGACAGAGCCAGCGAGUUAUUCACCUUGGCCGGAAGGUCUG
rnacentral:rRNA from 1 species